AGGGGGCGGCAGGGAGACGUCCCUGCCGUUGCUCCACCACCGUGAGAUCAUCCGGGAGCCACCCUUCAAUGAUGUUUCGCUCCAUUAAUCCCGGAACAUCUCACGGUGGUGGAGCA